CUCUCUCUCUCUCUCUCUCUCUCUCUCUCUCUCUCUCUCUCUGUUGCUUGUAGUUUUUUCAAGUGGAGUAAAAAGAACAGAACGACAUAACCUGGUGAGUGUUUAUAUUUCUACUGUUGUUGGUAGCUUUCAUGUGGGUUUCUGGUGAAUGAUUCGAUUCCAUUAUUGCGUUUAUUUUUUUCUUCUCGUUUUUAUUUAUUUAAAGCAAUGGAAGGUUCAUGUCGCUGGUCGUGGGCCUAAUCCCCCAUUGUUGUUAGCUAAUCACAAUAAUGCUGAACCUUUUUUCGCAUUAAUUGUUUUGAUGGGUUCACUUGUAUAAAUAGUCGAUUCUCAAAAAAGGGUUUUAGGACUUUCAUCCUUUACAGCAAAAAGAAAAAAAAAACACUAAAGUUUGGGUUUUUAAUCAUCUUGUUUCUUUUAUCAUUUUUUCUCAUCUGCGUUCUAUGUUUGAGAUUUGUAAUGUCGUUUUGAAUUGAUUUAGUCUGCAGGGUUUAAGCAGAGGUUGGUUUGUCAGAUUCUCAAGUUUCUUUCUUCAGAUUUACUCUAUGAUGAAGUGAGAGACCUCCAACAUUAAACAAAGAGAGAAGCUUGCAACUUUCGCAAGGUACAACCUUUGACUUUAUUGGUUUACUUGUAAGAAACUUGCUUCUGAAAUUUUCAAACUUUGAAUUUUUAAAUCUGGGUUUCUCUGGUUUGUGUUGAAAUAUUCAGUUUCAUUAUAACAUUCCACUUUUUUGUGAAGUUCUCUUCGGUUUAUUAGACCCAAGACAUCUGCUUAAGGGUAUGUAGAUGAGAGAACUGUCUUAAGGUUUUGUUUGGUUAGUGACAUAGCGUUUAGACCGCUGCUGCUAGUGCGUUUUGAGUCUAGAAUGAGACAUAGGUUGCGGGUCUUGUACUGAAUGUGUUUGGUGGGUUUGUCAGGCUUUGAGGUUGUCUUGUUGUUUCACAUGGCUAUCAAACCAUUUUUUAAAAGGUUUGUACUGUUUUCUCUAAGGGAUUUUUGAGGCACUACAGUAUAAUAAUAUUACUGGUUUUACAUUAAGGUUAUGUUACAUGGUAAAUGCAUAUUUGAUCUGUUUUUUUUUUAUGUUUCUUUUGAGAGAGGUGGAUUAUUCUGCAUGGGUGAAAUCUUCUGCAAAUCUUUAAUUGUUCUUUGUUUUCUAGCAGCACAUUUUGACUAAAUAACCCCACAAAAAUAAAUUAAAGAAGAAAAUAAAAGUAGAUUGGACCAUGAAGUCUUCACAACUCUUUGUCGAAUAUUUUAAGCAUGAACCAUGAAGUUUUCACAACUCUUUGUUGAAUAUUUUAUAGCAGUAUCCAUUGUAUUAUAUAUGUGUAGAUUCCUCUUUUGUUAAUAGAUUUUUUUAAUUAGGGAGACACUCUUUUACAUUGAGCUUUUUUUAUAUAGUUCUUAACUUAAAGCAAGUCCUAUUUGGAGAAUAUUACAUAAAGAAUCCUUGUGGCCCUCCAUUAACGCUCCUUGAUCCUAGAAUUAAAAGCUUCUAGCUCUUUUUCUUUAUAUUCAUCAUUACAAGCUCUCUCCUCUCCUCUUCUCUGCUUUUGAAUUCCUUUUUGUGGUGUUUUUUCUUUGUCCUAUUUGUUACUUAAUACUUUCAAGCUUCUUUGUGAUGGAUCUGCAGAUGGAGACUGUGAAACCAAGGGCUGUUGCUCCCAAGGGUAAAUUCAGACGCACGUUUGCCAAAGUUCUCAACAUUCACAAGCUAACCGGUGUUGCUCCAGAUGUGAAGAAGAUAAAGUUAACAGAGAAGAGGCUUAACCAAAGCGGACAGCUUUGCAACCCUUUAGACAAUCUUCACCUCUCUGCGCUGAAUCCAACCCACUUCGUUGCUUAUCUGAACCACACAGUCAAAUCCAUCAGAGGGUUCGUCAAGCUGAUGGUCCAACAGAUGAAACUCGCGGGAUGGGAUCUUUCAAUGGCGGCUAACUCGAUCCAGCCCGGUGUGUUUUAUUACAAGCAGGAUCACAAGUGUUUCGCUUUCGAACACUUUGUCUCCAACGUAAUGUUCGAAGCUUUCCAUCUGCCACACUUCUCAACCGAUUCAAGAAGCUUCAAGAAACAGAGCAAAACAGAGGAACAGAGCAAAACAGAGGAACAGAGCAAAACAGAGAGGGAAGCGUUCUUUGAGAGGUUUACAGAGCUCAAGUCGAUGAAAGCUAGAGAUUACUUAAACGCACGGCCAAGAUCAAGAUUCGCCAGGUUCUGCAGAGCCAAGUUCUUGCAGCUUAUACAUCCGAAGAUGGAGGAAGCUUUCUUCGGACACACGCACUUGAGAAACCAGGUCUCUGCUGGUGUGUUCCCGGAGACGAGCUUGUGCUCUGGGUUUCUCGAAAUGGCGAAAAGGGUUUGGCUUCUGCAUUGCUUGGCUUUAUCUUUUGAGCAUGAAGCUGAGAUCUUUCGAGUGCAGAAAGGUUGUAGAUUCUCUGAAGUGUACAUGAAGAGCGUUGCGGAGGAAGCGUUGGAGGAAACAGAGCAGCCACGUGUCGCGUUCACGGUGGUUCCGGGGUUUAGGUUCGGGAGCAGUUUGAUACAGUGCGAGGUUUAUCUCUCGGGUUCGUGAUAGCCGUUCGAUCAAAGAUCUGGAAAUGGACGGUGGUGGGUCCUUAAGGACGUUUUGGUAAUUUCGAAAGUUGUGGGGUUGAUUUUUGAAGAAUGGGAAGUAGUGUGGUCUUUUGCUAAUGUUUUUCUCGGGCUUUUGAGUUUUGUCGAGAUUGGUGCAGGGAAAAUCAGAGGCAUCUGUUAGCUGUUGUCCAUUGAAUAUUUAUCUCCUUUUUUUCUGAAUAAUAUGUAAAUAUUUUAUGAUUUUCGAUAUGUACUUAAAUAAUGCAGUUAGAGAAAAAAUAUUAUAAAUAAAUGCCAAAGGAGCGUAAUAUUGGAAUGAUGAAAAGACUGAAAUGCAUUACUAUUUGAUUUGUUCGAUGCAUAUUUGUUAUUUAUAGUACAUAAUCACAUUUUGAUCAAAAAAAAGAUAAGUACAUAAUCACAUUUACAAAAGCAUUGGAUUCGUUUCUAAAUGUAUCGCUGGUUUAUGAACCAUCCAGCAUUAUGUCUCCCUGUCUUGUGUUGUCACUUGUCACCACUCACCUGCACAUUAAAAUUCUUAUCUGCUAAGAUUUUUGAGAUCUUGUUCAUUUUAAGUAGCCCUGCAACUUCGGUUUUCCGAAACCGAACCGAACCAAACCCUCGGUUUUCGGUUAACCGAAAUUUUAAAAAACAUUUCCAAAAGUAACCGAAUUAAAUUUCGGUUCGGUUUUCGGUUAACCGAAAUUUUAAAAAACAUUUCCGAAAAUAACCGAAUUAAAUUUCGGUUCGGUUCGGUUUUCGGUUAUUUUCGGUUUUCACCUAAAUUUCCGAAUAUACCCGAUUUUUAUGAUUUUUGGUUAAUUUCGGUAUAGGUUUUUAAAAAAGUUCGGAUUUCUCGGUUAAAUUCGGUUAUUUUCGAUUAUUUUCGGUUCGAAUUUUCGGUUAUUUUCGGUUAUUUACGGUUAAACCGGAUUAUUUUUUAAAAUCUUACCGAACCAAACCGAUCUCGAAAACAUAACCGAACCGAAAACCAAAAAUGUCGGUUCGGUUCGGCUGGUUCGGUUCGGAGCAAAGUCGCAGGGCUAAUUUUAAGGUUUGAAUUUUUAAAAAUAUUUCUACUAAAUCAUUAUUACAAAAUUAAGUAUACACGAAGAAAAAUUGACGCGUUGUUUGAAGAUUGUUUUGGGGGGUCUUUUGUUCAUUUUAAAGUUUAGAUAAGUUAUGCUAUAGUAAUUGACCAAAAAAAAAAAAAUUAUGCUAUAGUAAAUAAUUGUUGACCAAACUAAUAAUUUGGACAAAGACGUCAAAAUAUUGUGGGAUACCACAAAGACGGUGCUACGAUGAAAAGUUCAUUGAAAGAAUAAUAUUUUUGUUAUCUUAUGAUUUAUAUGUAUUGUUAUUGGUGUGCAUUUAUCAUGUAUAGUUUAUUUCAAAUUCAGUCUAUAUUAUAUUUAAUGAGAACGAUGCUUCCCCUAUGACACGAAAUCUAAAAGAUGAAUGACCAAAUAUUAUGGUAGGGUUCGUAUCUAGCAAAAUGACUGUACAUAAAUAUUAAAAAUGGUUUUAAUGUUUGUCGGAAAGUACGCAUCUACUUUUCUCUUAAACAUUUCGGUGCGGCUAAAUAUAUAUAUACUAGAUCUUCACCCACGCGACCACGCGAAUAUUUAAUUUGUGUUUGUAUUUAAUGAUAUAUUUGUAUCACUGAUAUUAGGUAUUAUAUAAAAAAUCUAAUAUUUAUAUAAUAAAAUCCAUGUCUAAGAUAUAUAGCUAACAAAUUUUUUAAAUAAAAAAUACAAAAAUAGACAAUUGUGAAUUAGCAUGCUAUUUAUAAAUAAAACAUUAGUUAUAAUAUUUGUAAGAAAAUAAAAUGAUUGUUAAACUUCUAUGAAAUUUGGAACAUAUACAAAUUAAGAUUGAAAAUAAAAUGAAAAUAUAAAUUUGAUGUAACUGAUAAGAAAUUAUAAAUGGGUUUGGAUUUGAGUACAUUUAAACCACGAUCUUGCAGAUGUUUUUUUAUUUUUGUAAAUAAAUAUUUAUUUUUUCUAAGGGAUAAUAUAUAUUUUAAAAUUUUACAUGUGUUAAAUAAUUAUUUAAUAACAUUUAUAAGCAUACUAAUUUUAUAGUUUAUAUUUUUUUAUUUAAUUUUAUCUUGUAAACCGUCAAUUGUAUUACCACCAUUUUUAGAAUAUGAUCCUUGCAUCUAUACAAAUGUUUUAUUUUGUUUUUUUUUGUGGAACAAAAUUUUAUGAGAAUGUCUAAUAAAUUAUUUUAUAUACAUGGUAAGUUUGUAAAUAAUUAUAAUGGUGCAUGUAAUAUAUUUAUAUUGGUAAGAAGAAGAAUUUGUUAAAAAAAAAGAAGAGUAACAUGAAUUGUGGGAGAGAAUGAGACAAAAAUGUAACUUAUAUUAUUACAUAAAUAUUUUGUGUAUAUUAUUGACAUAGAUAAGUUAAAAGAUUUAUAUUUAAUUGAUUGUGAAUGUAAUUUAGUAAAUGUUUUAUUAUUUUUUAAAAAUACAUGAAAAGCAUAGAAUUAGGAGUAAUUAAUACUUCAUUAAUUUCGGAAAAGACAGAGAUUACUUAAAAUUAUAUUUAUUUAAUUAUUUCAAUGGCAUUAGGCUGUAAAUAUUAUGAAAGUUUAAGGGUUAGUAUCAAUUUGUACUUCUCUUUUAAUAGAUUAUAUAUAUUUUUUUUUUUGAAGGAGGGUGUGGCUAAAUAUUGAUAUGAUCUUCAUAAUGUUUAUGUAUGCUUAUUUAGUAACUAUUUUUACAAAUUCGAAAGUGCAUGUUGAAAUUUAUUUCUAAAGUUAUCCCCCAUGAUUUGCUCUUGGAUCUUUUUUUUUUAAUAGAGAAUAUGUUUGUUCCAAUAGUCAUUUCUAUUUCUACUUUAAAUAAAAAUAAAUAAUAUUAUACGCCACUGGUGCAUUUAAUUUGUAAUACAAUCAUUUUUAUUCAAGCAUUAUUUUCUAAAAAAAAAUCUCAAGGUUUUUCCAAAUUUAGGAGUCUCUUAUAUAGUUCUCUAUUUUAAAAAUAUUGAAUAUAGAGUGGUUUAUGGGAGAUGAUGCAACAAAAAUUUUGUUGUGGAAUUCCCCAUUGUGGUCGUGAUAAAUGUAAACCGGAGGACUUUAACUCAAUAUGCCCCAAGGCCUCUUGAAAAAUUCUCAUAUGUCCCUGUUAUUAAAAAUAAUAUAUAAUAAUUUCUUUUUGAAUUUUUUUAAAUGCAAAAAGUGCGUAAAGUCGAAAAGACCCUAAAUGAAAUGGACUUAUUACCAUAUCCAACCAAAUCGACCCGGUCCACCCAAACCUAAAGGGUUACGACCCGGAUCCGAACCCUAAUUCUCUCUUGGUUGCGAAACCCUCUGAAUGGCUCUCUCCGUCUCAAACAGAAAAGGAGAAACAACAAACCCUAGAUUCGAUUUCUCUGCUUCUUCCAUCUUCGGCUCGUUCACAAUCCAGACGAAUCGAGCGUCUUCGUGUUCUUCAUUCAUUCGUUUAUCAUGGUAAGCGUGUUGUCAAAUCUCCAUACCUCCCCUUUUCGUUUAUCUUGGUCGUUGUCCUUUUUUGUUAGUUGGUGGGGAAAACUUGCAAGUGACUAUAAUGAAAUCGGGUUAUGUCUGUAGAAAGCGAAUUGCUAAAAAAUUGGAGACUAAACUAAAUGGGGUUGGGGUUAUGGUAAAAACGGAAUUGGGACAGAAAGGGGUUACGAAUUAGGAUAAAUGGUCUAUUGUGUGAAUCAGGUGUGUAGUACUUUGUGUUGUUUUGGUUUUGUUGAUCGUGAAUUGAUUUUGGGGUGUUUAGUUUGUCUACUUGACUUUGUGGUAAAGCUUAAUUGAUGUUGCUAUGCGGUUUGCAUUUGGAGUGAUUGAGUUGUUGUGGUUGUAACGUCAUGUACAUGAAAUGAAGGGCCAAAAAAGAAGGCAUCAAUAAUACUGCAAAGGUUUUGUAUUCUCAAUGUUUGUCUCUGUUACCAAGGUAAGUGUCUUCAGAAUCAAUUUGCUCUGGCUAGUUUCUUACUGGUGUUGUUAACUAGGGUUGUCUUUGAACUGUUUGGUAAAUUUAUUUUUCUUAGGAACGUUUUGUGUGUGUUUUUCUGUAGAGAAAAAGAUAUGCUAGUGGUACAAUGACCGAGGAUCAGGCCCUCCCCUAAUUUGUCAAAUGCACGUGGAGAAGGUAUGCUAGUGGUUCGUAUAUUUAUUUGUUCUGUUUUUUUCUUUCAUAUAUCUCAAUUUUGUGGCUGGUACAUCUUUUUAUCACCAGGAACGCCGACGAGAAAGGAUUGUUGCUUCACGCAGUGAUUAUAGUGCUGAUCAUAAUGACCUUUGCGAUGAUAAAACGAUGCUCAAGAUGCAAAGAGAGCAGCGGAAGCGUGCUGAUAAGGAGAACAGAGAAAGGAGAUGCCGUGUGUUCUGGACGACAGAGAAGCCGAUCAAGAUAACUUGCACCAUUUUCCAGAGGAAAAAAAAAAUCUUCGAGAAGAGAGGAAGGUCCUCAAGCAAUUCUUUGAGCGUUGUGAGAGUAUUGGUAUUGGAUCUUCUUAUGUCUUUAAAACAGGGAGGCGAGUUGUCGAAACCGUAGCUACUAAAUGAACACAUACAGUUUUGUUUCAGAUUAAAUAUAUAAAAAUAUUUUAAUAUAUGUUUAUUUAUUUAUUUUAUUUAAAUAUAUGUUAAUAUUUAAUUAUACACUCAAUUUUGAUUAGUGUAGUUUUCAUUAUCUUUUGUGACACAUUCUCCUUUCAUCUUCGAUUAAUUCCCAUUGUUUGAGCAUGUUUCAUGUGAAAAAAAAUUCUCAUAUUAAAUUGUUUUUAUAAAAUGUAUGAUUAAAGUUUAAGUCUUUUUUUCUCUUCUACAAGCACAUUUUUUUGUCAGUAAAUAUUAAGUAAGGUAAUAUGUCACAUUACACAUUCCAUCAUUUAUAAAUAAUUAAAAAGUGUUAAAACCAUUUAUCUUCUGUUUUUAGAUUUUAAAAAUGUUUUAUGUUUCAUAAAAUUCAUUUUGUUUCGCUCAGGUUAAAUUAAUAAUAUAAAAAGUACUCAUAUAAAAUGUAUAUGCAUAGCAUAUGUUAAAAUGAUAAUUUUAAAAUUACUCAUGUAAAAAGUGCAUGCAUAACACAUGUUAAAAUAAUAAUUUUAAAAGUAUUCAUGUCUUUGACAAAAAAAAUACUUAUGUAAAAGGUGAAGCCUUUAUAUACAUAAAUUUAAUAUUUUAAUUACAUUUAGUAAUUCUUGAUAAUCUUCAAGGUAGUAGAAAUACUUACUUACACAUAGUAAUACUUUAGCAAAUUUUAAGUUUUAUUAGUAAAACCAUAUCCAGAUGGAAUAUUUGGUAGUAAAACCAAUAUUUUUAUAUAAUGAAUGUUAUUAAGGAAGAGUAUUACAUAACCACUUUAAUAGAAAUAAGUAUUUUUAUAGAUUUUUCUUACGAUAGCCUUAUGAUUCACACAAUAACCAUGAAAGCUAAAGAAUUAUUUUGGGAAAAUGACAGAUAUUCCUAAAACUAUAGAAAAUAAUCAUCUAAAUAGUUUUAAUAGUCUUAUGUACUAUAUACAUAGUCUACUAAUAGAUAAUAUAUGGAUUCUAUAUGUUAAAUACACGCACUACUUGCAAUAUAUAGGAGUUUCAAAUUACACAUAAUAAAACCAAGUAAUCCUAGUAUUUCGAAUUACACAUAAUAAACCUAGUAAUCCUAGUAGUCCGAAUUACAUAAAAUAAACUCAGUAAUCCUAAUAGUCCGAUAAUUUUUCAACGUAGUAGAACUAAUAGUUCUAAUAAAAAUGUUUUUCCAUAGUAAUUCAAGUUGUCUAAGUAGUACCUAAUUCUUUUCACAUUUACGACCUAGUCUUUUUUUUAGAACGAUGUUGUUCGGAUUAAACCACUACUAUUUUUCUAUGACCAUAGUCCUACUAUACUUCAAAAUGAAGUAAAAUAAACCAAACCCCAUAAACACAGUUUUUAAAAUAAUUUUCAAUGUCUCAAAAUUUUCAUUAAAUCUUACGUUAUUUACAUUAUCUAAGAUAUACAUUUCAUUUUAAUUAUACUCCAAUUAAAUUUCUGUAAAAAUGAACAUAAUAAACCUAAAACCCAGAAAACAAAAUUUUAAAACUCGUUUUAAAUCUUUUGAAAUUCUUAGUAAAUCUUAAAUUAUUUACAUUACCCAAGAUUUACAGUUCAUUUUAAUGAUAUUCUAUAUAAUUUUUUUUAUUAAAACACGGAUAUAAUAAAUCUAAAACCUAAAAAAAAAACAGUUUUAAAACUCAUUUUCAGUCUUCCAAAAUUUUUAGUUAAUCUUACACUAUUUACAUUACCCAAGAUGUACAGUUCAUUUUAAUGAUAUUCUAGAUAAAUUUAUUUUAAGAAAACAGAUAUAAUAAAUCUAAAACCCAUAAAAAAAUAGUUUCAAACUCGUUUUCAAUCUUCCAAAAUUCUCAAUAAAUCUUACAUUAUUUACAUUUCCCAAGAUGUACAAUUCAUUUUAAUGAUAUUUUAGAUAAUUUUUUUAAAACGGAUAUAAUAAAUCUAAAACCCAGAAAAAUAAUUUUAAAACUCGUUUCAAUCUUCCAAAAUUCUUAGUAAAUCUUACAUUAUCUACAUAACCCAACAUGUACAAUUCAUUUUAAUGAUAUUCUAGAUAAUUUUUGAUAACAUAUAUAAUAAAUCUACAACCCAGAAAAAUAGUUUCAAAACUCGUUUUCAAUUUUUCGAAAUUCUCAGUAAAUCUUACAUUAUGUACAUUACCCAAGAUGAACAAUUCAUUUUAAAGAUAUUCUAGAUAUUUUUUAAAAACAGAUAUAAUAAAUCUAAAAAAAAAACAGCUUUAAAACUGGUUUUCAAUCUUCUGAAAUUAUCAGCAAAUCUUUUAUUAUUUACAUUAUUUUAAUAUAUUUAGAAAUUUAAAGUUAUUUUAUAACAAAUUUCAUAAAAAUGAACAUAUAUUAAAUGUUGUAUAAAGUUUCAGUUAACAAAAAGGAAAAUGUUACAUUAAAAAAAAAAAAAAAAAAAAAAGAGAUCACGUUGAAGAAGACAAAAAUGAGGUUUCUGGUUAAAGUUUAUCGUGGGACCCAACUAAUUUUUGAUAUAAAUUUGAUUCAUGAUUAAUGAGGUAUCAGAUUUAUAAUAAAAAAUUAGAAGGCUAGUUUCGGAAUCACAAAGAGAGAAGGGUAGUGAGAAAAGAGGAGGGAUAAGGAGAAUAGUUUUUUUCAAUAGGGGCAUAUUGAGUUACACUCCCAGAAACUUUGCUCUCGAGUGAGAGAAGUUAUUAAAUUUAAUGGGCUUUUAAACAACGCUAAUGGGCUUUAUUAAUAAACUAAACCUUAUUUAUAUACGAAGGUUCAGCUUUCAGGUAGAAAGGAAUCGAAGAUGAUAUUAGCCAAUCUCCCGAACGAUUUGGAAUCGGAGAUACUCGCUAGGGUUCCGGCGAAGUCUCUACAGGAACUCAAAACGACUUGCAAACGAUGGUACACUCUAUUCAAAGAUUCGAAGUUCGUGGAGAAGAACAAGAAGUUGAGUAGUGAAGCUGCAAGAGAGACGUUUCUACUGAGCAAUCACGAGGUUUACUCCAUCGCCGGAGAUCUCCACAGCAGCGGCGACGUCGCACAGCCUCUCGAGUUCACCGGUAAACUUUCAAAAGAUUUGGACUUGUAUACGAUCUCUCACUGCGACGGUUUGAUGCUAUGCCAAGCGAAGAAUAACUCUAGCGUUGUGGUUUGGAAUCCAUGUACUGGUGAAACGAAGAUGAUCAAACCUAGAACUCGUUACCAGAUUAGAGAUAGAUUCGCCUUAGGAUAUGAUGAUUCUCGCCGUGGCUACAAGAUCUUGAGGUUUGGCUAUUAUCAAAACGAGGAGAAAGUGUGGUUUGUUGAGUGUGAGAUGUAUGAUCUUAGCUCUGGUUCUUGGAGUGUUGUUGAUUCCUUCAUUCUUGACUACAGAAUGUAUUGCAGUGGCGUGUCUUUGCGAGGAGAUACUUACUUCGUUGCUGGUGAUAAAGAUUCAAGUUUCUUCUUGAUGAAGUUUGAUUUCACGGCGGAGAGAUUCGUGCGUCUCCCUCUCCCGUUUCAGAGCUUUGAUCCUGAGGACACCGCGGUUCUCUCUGUUGUUAGGGAUGAGAAGCUCUCUGUGUGUCAUCAGGACAAUCAUACUUGGUCCCAUGUGAUGAGGAUUUGGGUGAGCAGUAAGGUUGAUGAGGAAGGGGGCAAAGAGUUGUCGUGGAGGAAAGACUUUGUUUUGACUGUGGAUUUCGAUAAGUUUCAGCUCCGGUGUGUGGUGAAUGUGGCGAGCUUCUUGUUGGACGAGGAGAAGAAAGUGGCAGUGUGUUGUGACGUUUGUGACGAAGACAUGAAGGGGGAAGCGAAGAACAGAAUCUACAUUGUUGGUGAGGAUAUGUAUAAGCAGGUUUAUGACGAUGAUAUUGUAAAUGCAUCUCUUCUCAACUGUCCACUUGUUCUCACCUAUGUUCCAAGCUUGGUUCACAUCCACUAAGAAGAGACAGAUGUUCUUCUGGUUUGUUUCGGUUUAGGUGCUGCUACUUGGUUAUGGUUUUCUUGUGCUUUUUAGUAUUGGAUCGUUUGUUCAUAUACAUUGUUCUGGCUUGUAGCCAGUGUUUGAUCUUGGAGAGAUUAUCAUCACAUAAGAAGAAUCUGAUUCAUGAAUUGAGACUAAAGAAACAAUACAAAACCAGAUUCAAUCUUGUCCGAACUUUGUCAAUGCGUAAACCAAACCGGUUCAAGUUAGCAUUCCAUGUAGAGUUAAAAUGAGAAAACAUCUCUAGUUUAAUGUAUUAGAACAAGAGUUUCUUUUCACUUUCCAUUGCUCGAACUCUGUUGAGCUUAACAGGAAGGAGCUUGCGUUUUUA
rnacentral:lncRNA from 1 species